UACGUAGGUGGCAAGCGUUGUCCGGAUUUACUGGGCGUAAAGAGCGCGCAGGCGGUCAGAUAAGUCGAAUGCGAAAGCCCCCGGCUCAACUGGGGAGGGUCAUUCGAUACUGUUCGACUCGAAGGCAGGAGAGGGAAGCGGAAUUCCCGGUGUAGUGGUGAAAUGCGUAGAUAUCGGGAGGAACACCAGUGGCGAAGGCGGCUUCCUGGCCUGUUCUUGACGCUGAGGCGCGAAAGCUAGGGGAGCAAACGGG
rnacentral:rRNA from 1 species